GCUGGAUAAGUUGGCGGUUCAUUCUGCUGUGGCGACCCCGGAUUAAUAAAGGGACUAAGCCGACAAGAACAUGAAUGAAAUGAAUGAAUAAUGCAUAAAUCCAAGGAAUCAUCUUUGAAUAAUUUUUUUCAGUGUACUUGUUUAUAUUUUUUAAUUAAAUUAUUUCUCCAGUCAUUAUUACAAUUACCAUUAAUAAUAAUAAUAAUAAUAAUAAUAAUAAUAAUAAUAAUAAU
ensembl:processed_transcript